rnacentral:rRNA from 1 species
CGGCGUGCCUAAUACAUGCAAGUCGAGCGAGCUGAACCAGCAGAUUCACUUCGGUGAUGACGCUGGGAACGCGAGCGGCGGAUGGGUGAGUAACACGUGGGUAACCUGCCCUAAAGUCUGGGAUACCACUUGGAAACAGGUGCUAAUACCGGAUAACAACAAUAGCUGCAUGGCUAUUGCUUAAAAGGCGGCGAAAGCUGUCGCUAAAGGAUGGACCCGCGGUGCAUUAGCUAGUUGGUAAGGUAAUGGCUUACCAAGGCGACGAUGCAUAGCCGAGUUGAGAGACUGAUCGGCCACAUUGGGACUGAGACACGGCCCAAACUCCUACGGGAGGCAGCAGUAGGGAAUCUUCCACAAUGGGCGAAAGCCUGAUGGAGCAACGCCGCGUGAGUGAAGAAGGUUUUCGGAUCGUAAAGCUCUGUUGUUGGUGAAGAAGGAUAGAGGUAGUAACUGGCCCCUAUUUGACGGUAAUCAACCAGAAAGUCACGGCUAACUACGUG